rnacentral:rRNA from 1 species
GAUGAACGCUGGCGGCGUGCCUAAUACAUGCAAGUCGAGCGAACGGACGAGAAGCUUGCUUCUCUGAUGUUAGCGGCGGACGGGUGAGUAACACGUGGAUAACCUACCUAUAAGACUGGGAUAACUUCGGGAAACCGGAGCUAAUACCGGAUGAUAUUUUGAACCGCAUGGUUCAAAAGUGAAAGACGGUCUUGCUGUCACUUAUAGAUGGAUCCGCGCUGCAUUAGCUAGUUGGUAAGGUAACGGCUUACCAAGGCAACGAUGCAUAGCCGACCUGAGAGGGGGAUCGGCCACACGGGACCUGAGACACGGUCCAGACCCCUACGGGAGGCAGCAGUAGGGAAUCUUCAGAAAUGGGCUAAAGCCUGACGGAGCAACGCGGCGUGAGUGAUGAAGGUCUUCGGAUCGUAAAACUCUGUUAUUAGGGAAGAACAUAUGUGUAAGUAACUGUGCAGAUCUUGACGGUACCUAAUCAGAAAGCCACGGCUAACUACGU